rnacentral:sRNA from 1 species
CGACCGACCUGGCCCCCAAAUAGGACCCAA